rnacentral:rRNA from 1 species
AUUGAACGCUGGCGGCAUGCCUUACACAUGCAAGUCGAACGGUAACGGGCCUUCGGGUGCCGACGAGUGGCGCACGGGUGAGUAAUACAUCGGAACGUGCCCGAUCGUGGGGGAUAACGAGGCGAAAGCUUUGCUAAUACCGCAUACGAUCUACGGAUGACAGCAGGGGACCGCAAGGCCUUGCGCGGACGGAGCGGCCGAUGGCAGAUUAGGUAGUUGGUGGGAUAAAAGCUUACCAAGCCGACGAUCUGUAGCUGGUCUGAGAGGAUGAUCAGCCACACUGGGACUGAGACACGGCCCAGACUCCUACGGGAGGCAGCAGUGGGGAAUUUUGGACAAUGGGCGCAAGCCUGAUCCAGCCAUGCCGCGUGCAGGAUGAAGGCCUUCGGGUUGUAAACUGCUUUUGUACGGAACGAAAAGCCUUCUUUUAAUACAGGAGGGUCAUGACGGUACCGUAAGAAUAAGCACCGACUAACUACGUG